GACGAACGCUGGCGGCGUGCUUAACACAUGCAAGUCGAACGGUGAAGGGGCCUGCUUUUGUGGGCCCUGGAUGAGUGGCGAACGGGUGAGUAACACGUGAGUAACCUGCCCCCUUCUUCUGGAUAACCGCAUGAAAGUGUGGCUAAUACGGGAUAUUCUGGGUCUGUCGCAUGAUGGGUCUGGGAAAGAUUGCGCCUUUGGGUGUUUUUGGUGGGGGAUGGGCUCGCGGCCUAUCAGCUUGUUGGUGGGGUGAUGGCCUACCAAGGCGGUGACGGGUAGCCGGCCUGAGAGGGUGGACGGUCACACUGGGACUGGGACACGGCCCAGACUCCUACGGGAGGCAGCAGUGGGGAAUAUUGCACAAUGGGCGCAAGCCUGAUGCAGCGACGCCGCGUGAGGGAUGGAGGCCUUCGGGUUGUAAACCUCUUUCGCCAGUGAAGCAGGCCUGCUCCUUGUGGGUGGGUUGACGGUAGCUGGAUAAGAAGCGCCGGCUAACUACGU
rnacentral:rRNA from 1 species